rnacentral:rRNA from 1 species
CCUACGGGUGGCAGCAGUGGGGAAUAUUGCGCAAUGGGCGAAAGCCUGACGCAGCGACGCCGCGUGAGGGAUGAAGGUCUUCGGAUCGUAAACCUCUGUCAGCAGGGAAGAACGGUCACUUUGCUAAUCAGCAGUGACUUGACGGUACCUGCACAGGAAGCACCGGCUAACUCCGUGCCAGCAGCCGCGGUAAUACGGAGGGUGCGAGCGUUAAUCGGAAUUACUGGGCGUAAAGCGCGCGUAGGCGGUAUGUCAAGUCAAGGGUGAAAUCCCGGGGCUCAACGUGGGAACUGCCUUUGAAACUGGCGAACUGGAGUGCGUGAGAGGAUAGGGGAAUUCCAGGUGUAGGAGUGAAAUCCGUAGAUAUCUGGAGGAACAUCAGUGGCGAAGGCGACUAUCUGGCACAUAACUGACGCUGAGGAGCGAAAGCGUGGGUAGCAAACGGGAUUAGAUACCCCAGUAGUC